rnacentral:lncRNA from 1 species
CAUGCCUUGUGUAUUACACGCAUUCAGCUGUGCACGUGGUGGGAACGGGGCAUUAGACAUGGCUCUGGAGCAGUGUUGAUGCCAGCGGCUUGGUGGAGGGAGGACUGAGGAGAAGGUGGGUUGCUGAGCCAGAGGGCAGGAAGAGAGAGAAACGGGUUGGAGGCACAGACCGAUCCAGGAAAACGUGGGGACUUUCCACCAGAAAACUGGCAUCUCACCAGGUGAUCCUCAGGUCUGCUGGGAGAGGAUAUUGCUGUUUCCAUCCUUGCUGCAGGGAGCUUUGGCUCCCAGGUAUAGCUAGAUCGCUUCCAGAGUUGUUAUUGCAAAGUAGUGUUCAUACGAACUGGUCUGGGAGGCAAAAAAAUAAAACCCCUUCAGCUGGGUAUGUGACCUGUGGUGAAGUUUAAUCAGCUUUGCGAGGUAUAUUUUGUAUCCUACUGUUUCAAAUAAAUAAAUAAAGCUUCAUGUAAAAAUUAGGCA